rnacentral:rRNA from 1 species
UACAGAGGGUGCGAGCGUUGUUCGGAAUUAUUGGGCGUAAAGCGCUGGUAGGUGGCUUGUUAAGUCGCGUGUGAAAGCUCCCAGGCUCAACCUGGAAAGGGCGCGCGAAACUGGCGAGCUUGAGUGCCGGAGAGGGUCGCGGAAUUCCCGGUGUAGAGGUGAAAUUCGUAGAUAUCGGGAGGAACACCAGAGGCGAGGCGGCGACCUGAAGUAACUGACACGUGAGCAGCGAAAGCGUGGGGAAGCAACAGGG